CACAAACAGGGCGCGCUCAGCCCCCGUCGCGGUGCUUUAUUGCGGGUCGAAGCGCAGCCCCCGUUGCCGCAGGUCGGCCCUGGCCAUGGCGAUGUGCUCCUGCAGUUCGGCCGCCGCCUCCUCGCAGUCGUUGAAGGUGGCCAAACGGAAACCCACGGUGGCCAAGGAGAAGCAGCCGAAGGCCACCAGCAGGUAGACGGGCAGGGGGAGCAGAGCCUGCCGGUACGGCGCCGGGAGCUGCAGGCCGGCCGGGGACAGAGCCAGGGCGGCCCAGGCGGAGCCCAGCAGGGCCAGGACGCACAGCCACUGAGCCAGCUUGGUCAUGGCGGCCUUCAGCGCUCCCAACGUGGCGCGCCCUCCUCCCGUCGCGCCGUGACGUCAGCACAGCGCGCCGCGCCGCGCGGGGGCCGCUGGGAGCUGUAGUACGGCAGCGCGGCGCCACGUCG
rnacentral:lncRNA from 1 species